rnacentral:misc_RNA from 1 species
AACUGAUACUACCUGCGGGAACUGCGGAGGGAUCAUUACUGAAGUGAUUUGGGGAUGUUGCUGGCCCUCUCUCAAGGGGGGGCACUGUGCACUCCUCGAAACAAUUCACAAUUUCCAUCACACCCCUUGUGCACACCUUGUAGGCACCCAAACCCACCUCCGGGUGGUGGGGUCCUAUGUAUUCCUUCAUCUCACACUCUGUUGAAUGGUGCCAUGGGACGCAUCUAAAGGAUUAUUUGU